ACACAGAGGCCAAAGGCCUUUGUCUUCCAAAGGUGACAGUUCUGAACAAGACAGAAGAUGAAACUCACUAGGAUUUGCAGCCAACUGCUUAUACGGUGACCCUUUGGUCAUGGCAACAGGGUCCUCCAGGCCUGUAUCAACCAACAAAGAUAGAGAAUGUUUUCAUAAAUAAACGGUACCACCAAGUCUGGACUCCAAAGUGCGGAUGGGCAGGACUUCCCUCAGUUCUAUGGAACCAAGCUGUUCACCCUUUCCUGAUACUCACAGCAAGAGAACCAGCUGACCAUGGAUUCAAGCCCAAGGAACCAUGAGCUAAAAAGAAAUAUUUCCCCAUGUGGCUGUCAGAGAUUCGUCAUAGAAACAAAACAAAACCUUACAUAUUGCCCCUGAGCAGAAUGAAGACUGGAUAUCACAGCAGGGAUCCAUGUCAUGUGUGAUCACGCUGGCCACGAAACAGAAUCAGAUCUAGAGGAAAAUUCUUUGAGGACCCGAACUGAAAAGAUUUUCUUGGCUCCUCAUCUCGUGUAAUUUUAAAUCAGAACAAUGCUAAGCUCUAAAGUAAGCAGUAAGAACUUCAGUAAAGCUGCAACCUCCCGUCAACACCCCAGAGUGCUGACACUGAUUUCCACCCAAAUACUGAAUUAUAUUAAAAAUCUCUCCAUUCUUCUCAA